AGCGAAUAGAUACCCGGGUAGUCCCAGCCGUAAACGAUGCUCGCUAGGUGUCAGGCAUGGCGCGACCGUGUCUGGUGCCGCAGGGAAGCCGUGAAGCGAGCCACCUGGGAAGUACGGCCGCAAGGCUGAAACUUAAAGGAAUUGGCGGGGGAGCACAACAACGGGUGGAGCCUGCGGUUUAAUUGGACUCAACGCCGGACAACUCACCGGGGGCGACAGCACUAUGUAGGCCAGGCUGAAGACCUUGCCUGAAUCGCUGAGAGGAGGUGCAUGGCCGUCGCCAGUUCGUACUGUGAAGCAUCCUGUUAAGUCAGGCAACGAGCGAGACCCGUGCCCACUGUUACCAGCAUGUCCUCCGGGACGAUGGGUACUCUGUGGGGACCGCCGGUGUUAAAUCGGAGGAAGGUGCGGGCCACGGUAGGUCAGUAUGCCCCGAAUCUCCCGGGCUACACGCGGGCUACAAUGGAUGGGACAAUGGGUCCCUACCCCGAAAGGGGAUGGUAAUCUCACAAACCCAUUCUUAGUUCGGAUCGAGGGCUGUAACUCG
rnacentral:rRNA from 1 species